rnacentral:rRNA from 1 species
AGAGUUUGAUCCUGGCUCAGAUUGAACGCUGGCGGCAUGCCUAACACAUGCAAGUCGAGCGCUCUCUUCGGAGGGAGCGGCGGACGGGUGAGUAACGCGUGGGAACGUACCCUUUUCUACGGAAUAGCCUCGGGAAACUGAGAGUAAUACCGUAUACGCCCUUCGGGGGAAAGAUUUAUCGGAGAAGGAUCGGCCCGCGUUGGAUUAGGUAGUUGGUGGGGUAAUGGCCUACCAAGCCGACGAUCCAUAGCUGGUUUGAGAGGAUGAUCAGCCACACUGGGACUGAGACACGGCCCAGACUCCUACGGGAGGCAGCAGUGGGGAAUCUUAGACAAUGGGCGCAAGCCUGAUCUAGCCAUGCCGCGUGAGUGAUGAAGGCCUUAGGGUCGUAAAGCUCUUUCGCCAGGGAUGAUAAUGACAGUACCUGGUAAAGAAACCCCGGCUAACUCCGUGCCAGCAGCCGCGGUAAUACGGAGGGGGUUAGCGUUGUUCGGAAUUACUGGGCGUAAAGCGCGCGUAGGCGGAUUAGUCAGUCAGAGGUGAAAUCCCAGGGCUCAACCCUGGAACUGCCUUUGAUACUGCUAGUCUUGAGUUCGAGAGAGGUGAGUGGAAUUGCGAGUGUAGAGGUGAAAUUCGUAGAUAUUCGCAGGAACACCAGUGGCGAAGGCGGCUCACUGGCUCGAUACUGACGCUGAGGUACGAAAGUGUGGGGAGCAAACAGGAUUAGAUACCCUGGUAGUCCACACCGUAAACGAUGAAUGCCAGUCGUCGGGUAGCAUGCUAUU